rnacentral:misc_RNA from 1 species
UUUCAAUAAGUUUCAACUUCAGAGCAAUUCUCCAUCACGUAAAAUAAAAUAUUUCCUGAGAUGACCAAGCAUAAAACUUUUAAUGGAAAGGAUCUAGAACAUCUGUCACAUCUGGACUAUCGAUCACAUCAACCAGCAGGUUUCACAAUUCAGAAACUUGGUCCAUUUUUCAAUUGAUUAUUGUACUUCACUUUUUACACCAA